rnacentral:tRNA from 3 species
GGAAGUAUAACUCAAAAGGUAGAGUGUUUCACUUUUAAUGAAACGGUUGAGAGUUCGAAUCUCUUUACUUCCU